rnacentral:rRNA from 1 species
GACAAACAGGUCAAGUUAAGUCUAAUUGGUAUAAAAGGAAGUUAAAAUAUUAUAUACUGAAAAGUUUAAUUUAAUGUAAAGAGGUGGAAUUCGUAUACAUUAAGUUAUAUUUAAUACUUUUUAAUGUUUGACGCUUCGAUAGCUAAGUAAGAAACCGGGAUUAGAUACCCCGUUAUUUUUUCUGUAAAUUUUGAUUAUUUAAUAAUUUGCCUGAGUAUUACGGGUUGAAGACUUUUGUGUAUUAUGUUAUAUAAUGUACAAAGUAUUUAGAUACUUAAAACUCAAAAAACUUGGCGGUGCCUUAUUUCCUCCCAGGGGAACCUGUCCUAUAAUCGAUGAUCCACGAUUUAUCUUACUUUUUUUUGAAUUUCUAUUUUGAUAUAUCAGUUUGUAUACCGUCGUCGUCAGAUUACCUUUAAGAGUAAAGAAGUUGUCGGAUAAAUUAGAAAGCUAGGUUUAUAUAAACUAGUUUUAGUUUUUGAUGUCAGAUCAAGGUGCAGCUUAUAAAAAAGUAGAGAUGGGUUACAAUAUAGAUUUUAUAUUAUGAAUACUAGCUUGUAAAAGCUAGGUGAAAGCGGACUUGGAAGUAAUGUUAAUUUAAGUU